rnacentral:rRNA from 1 species
UGGGGAAUUUUGGACAAUGGGGGAAACCCUGAUCCAGCCAUCCCGCGUGUGCGAUGAAGGCCUUCGGGUUGUAAAGCACUUUUGGCAGGAAAGAAACGUCGCGGGUUAAUACCCCGCGAAACUGACGGUACCUGCAGAAUAAGCACCGGCUAACUACGUGCCAGCAGCCGCGGUAAUACGUAGGGUGCAAGCGUUAAUCGGAAUUACUGGGCGUAAAGCGUGCGCAGGCGGUUCGGAAAGAAAGAUGUGAAAUCCCAGAGCUUAACUUUGGAACUGCAUUUUUAACUACCGGGCUAGAGUGUGUCAGAGGGAGGUGGAAUUCCGCGUGUAGCAGUGAAAUGCGUAGAUAUGCGGAGGAACACCGAUGGCGAAGGCAGCCUCCUGGGAUAACACUGACGCUCAUGCACGAAAGCGUGGGGAGCAAACAGGAUUAGAUACCCUGGUAGUCCACGCCCUAAACGAUGUCAACUAGCUGUUGGGGCCUUCGGGCCUUGGUAGCGCAGCUAACGCGUGAAGUUGACCGCCUGGGGAGUACGGCUGGCAAGAGUUUAAAAACUCAAAUAGGAAAUUGGACGGGGGUCGAUANCU